CAGUGGUGUCCAGUGAGCGGCACACAAUGGUGUUCAUCACGUCAGUGGUCAGUGGUGUCCAGUGAGUAGCACACAAAGGUGUUCUUCACGUUCUCUCCCUCUGUGUCUGUCAUUGUGACCAGGCUUAAGUAAGGACGGCUAAAGGAAGCCUGCUUCGGAGUGUCUGUUCUUUGGCUUGAGUGAUUGAAGCCCAUGAGUCUAUAGUGCAGCCCUGCCAACAAGCACCGGCUUAUGUGUCAUUAAAUGGACUGUUGAGCAGUUGAUUCUGAAAGCGAGCCAGACUGUCAUUGUUUAGAGGCAGAGAGGUACUGUACGAGGGGUUUUCAGUGCUUUUCUGUAGACGUGCACUUGGUAUUAGAUGCCAAGGCUUUAGCGGGGAUAAGGCUAAGACAGUGUGCGUGUAAAAUAAAUAAAUUACAUUAAAUAAAAUCAGGUCAGGGAUUUGUCUCAGUUGGAACGAAUGAGACGCCCACCCACUGCAAUGAAUACGCUAUUGUUGAAUCUUUACAAAAGUGUCUCCUGGAAGAGGAGGUGAGAUGUUGUGCUUGGUGGGAGAAAAAGAGGUGUUGGGUUGAGAAAAAGGG